rnacentral:lncRNA from 1 species
ACUCAGCAAUGAAGGAGCUCCACCUUCUAUCUGGCCUGACCUUCUCCUUGAAGACUCUUUUUUCCAAGAUAUUCCAAAGUUUUAAAAUAGUAGUACCUGGAAUAACCAGUGCCAGUUACUUGACUGUUGGAGGAGAAACCACUGUUAGAAAUGUUCACAUAGAAGCUCCUCUUUCAUCUGCAGGUAUAGUAUAUGGUAUAAAUUGCUUGGAGUUUUAAUUUUCACAAACUUUUUUUCCAUUUUUUGUACUUUACUAGUUUGCCUUGCUAAAGUUUUAAAAUAGUAGUACCUGGAAUAACCAGUGCCAGUUACUUGACUGUUGGAGGAGAAACCACUGUUAGAAAUGUUUACAUAGAAGCUCCUCUUUCAUCUGCAGGUAUAGUAUAUGGUAUAAAUUGCUUGGAGUUUUAAUUUUCACAAACUUUUUUUCCAUUUUUUGUACUUUACUAGUUUGCCUUGCUAUUUUUGGUUUUCCUAGACAGGAUAUACAAUUUCCAUUAAUAUAGCGAGUCAAAGAAUCAAAGCAC